GCGCUUCUCUCAAUUGUGUCUAUUUCAGUGGGGUCACUGUCACACCUUAAGGUGCAAAAUUAUCCUGAACACCAAGGUGUGUUAGUGAUGACACUGCAGUAGAAACAGUCAACAUACUGCUCC
rnacentral:precursor_RNA from 14 species